ACAUAGUAGUCAGUACUCCUCUCCUCUCUCUCUCUCUCUCUCUCUCUCUCUCUCUCUCUCUCUCGAACUUUCUCUCAAAUCCUCUCAAUGUUUCCUGAUUGUUUGCUGAUUAUCUGUGAUUUCUUCUCCAAUUUUCAAGUGUUUCUAAGCAGUCUUCGCUGUAUAUUCAAGUAGACAUAUUUAAAGUUUAUAACAAUAAAGAAAGAUGGUGCAAAGUCUACUUCCAAAAAUUCUCCAAAUGUGACAGUGCGGACAAUAAUAUAUCGGAAAGUUUCAAUGCUUGGAUAGUGGGAGCUAGACACAAGACAAUUGUGUCAAUGAUGGAAGAAAUUAGAGUCAAGGUCAUGAUUAGAGUACCUAAGAUGAGGGCAUUUGCUGAAACUUGGGUGGUCGGGAUAUCUCCAAUGGAAAUGAAGGUAUUCAACACUAAUGUGGAGAAGUCAAUGAAGUGUAAGAUUUAUUGGAAUGGAGACUAUGGCUUUGAAAUUAAGGAAGGUAAAAUUAAGUUUAUUAUUCACCUGGAAAGAGGAUAUUGUAGCUGCAGGUCAUGGCAGUUGAAAGGCAUUCCAUGUGCACAUGCCAUAACAACAAUGCACAACAAGAGGAUUGAUGUAUCUGAGUCAAUUGCAACCUGGUACAGAAAGGAGACCUAUCUGCAGACUUAUUCAAACUUUAUACAACCUGUCCCCAAUAUGAUAAUAUGGCCAGUUACUUCAAAUCCAUAGAUUGAGCCACCUGCAGUUCAAAAAAUGCAUGGCAGGCCAAAGAGAAAUAGAAGAAAGGAGGAAGGAGAAGUUAAAAAGGCUGGUAAGUUAUCAAAAAUGGGAAUAACAGUGACAUGCUCUAUUUGCAAGUCUAGUGCACAUAAUAAAAGAAGUUGUCCCUCCAAGCCAACAGUCCCAACAACAACAUCAGAGGUAAAACUUAUCUACAUUAUUUUACAUCGAAUUAUUGGAUAGAUUUUUUACUUGACUUAUUACCUUUUAGUAUAAUGCUUCCCAACAAUCAUCAACUGGAAGUACAAGGAAGAGAAGUGUUGUUGAUACUCAAGAGGUAUCUACAAACAGGUAAGGUAUUAAAGGGAGUAGAACUAAGUAUAAGAGGCCGAAGAUUAAAAGACAAUGUGUAUUUGUGUCUAAGACUGGUUAUAGUUGUGUUAAUGUUAGUGUUUCUACUGCUUACUCUAACUUUAUUGUUGUUACUAUCUUUAGUUAUGUAUCAGCAAUCAUAAAAUAUCUCUUUUAAUUACAGCAAGGUAUGCCUAGCAGCAGAGUAAUUUUCACAACUGCAAUGAUGAAUUCUGCAAAAGUUACAGGUGAUAUUGGAUAUAAGCAGCAAGUCUUUGAAGUGGAAAGAAAAGCAAGUUAUUAGUCAAAGAGAACUCCAAAUGUAAAGUGCGAUACAUAGAGUCCAAAAAAGAUCAAAGGAUGUUGAAAUUCAAACAAGAUCACAAAUGGGAAUUUCUCCUUCGAAGAUAACAACAUAAAUUUCUAGGAUUAACUUAGCUAAGAUAAUUUUUGUGUUAGUGUUGGUAGUGUUAUGUAUAAACUUUGGUGGUGUUUCUAGUAGUAUUUUGUAAGCACUUUAUGUUGGUGAUGAUAUUGAUUUACAAUCAUUUUGUGUUGGUAUUGGUAGUAUCUUAUAAGCACUUAUGAUGCUGUCCAAUUUUCUUUUGUUAAAUGACUCUUGCAAUGUCUAAACUUCUAGUAAUGGUAUAAUUAUUGCUUG